rnacentral:rRNA from 1 species
UGCAAGUCGAACGCUUCAGCAAUGAAGAGUGGCAGACGGGUGAGUAACGCGUGGGAACCUUCCCAGUGGUACGGAAUAGCCCAGGGAAACUUGGGGUAAUACCGUAUAAGCCCUUAGGGGGAAAGAUUUAUCGCCAUUGGAUGGGCCCGCGUCGGAUUAGCUUGUUGGUGAGGUAAAAGCUCACCAAGGCGACGAUCCGUAGCUGGUCUGAGAGGAUGAUCAGCCACACUGGGACUGAGACACGGCCCAGACUCCUACGGGAGGCAGCAGUGGGGAAUAUUGGACAAUGGGCGCAAGCCUGAUCCAGCCAUGCCGCGUGAGUGACGAAGGCCUUAGGGUUGUAAAGCUCUUUUGGCGGGGACGAUAAUGACGGUACCCGCAGAAUAAGCUCCGGCUAACUUCGUGCCAGCAGCCGCGGUAAUACGAAGGGAGCUAGCGUUGUUCGGAAUUACUGGGCGUAAAGCGCACGUAGGCGGACUUGUUAGUCAGGGGUGAAAUCCCGGGGCCCAACCUCGGAACUGCCUUUGAUACUGCAAGUCUGGAGUCCGGAAGAGGUGGGUGGAAUUCCUAGUGUAGAGGUGAAAUUCGUAGAUAUUAGGAAGAACACCGGUGGCGAAGG